rnacentral:misc_RNA from 1 species
AAAUUCUCAACUGCUUCAACUUUUUAUUAGGUUGGAGUGAAGUUGGAUGUGGAGGAUUAUUGCUGGCGUAAUGACUUUGGUUGUUGCUUGUUAGCUCCUCUUAAAUAAAUGAACUUUCUAGUAGAUCAUGGCAAAGUAACACUAAUGUGAUAAUUAUCUACAUUAGAUGUGAAAGUCCUUGAGCAGAAGGGAAAUCCUUCCUAUAGGAAAGGUUGAUGGUGUUGAUAA